rfam:Salmo salar isolate Sally breed double haploid chromosome ssa03, whole genome shotgun sequence.
AAAUUGUAUACACGUAUGUCGCUUUGGAUAAAAGCGUCUGCUAAAUGGCAUAUA